CAGUUGCUCCCUGCAGGAUGCUGGGACAGUUGCAUUGAGGAGGAUCUCCAGCAGGGAGCAGUGCCUGGCUCUUGUGGCGCUCUCCUUUUGCCUUCAGAGCACCAGACCAAACAAAAACACGCUCUGUCCUCCUCUACAAGAGGCUGUCAUUGGCGACUCAGUCAACGUUUUUGGACAGGCUGUUUGCAAGCAGCUCAAAGGCAGGUGAAUGCAUUAUGCAUAAGCAUCAGGGAAAUAAAAAGCCAUGCAGGAAAGCAGCAGAGCUCAGCUGCUUCCUAAACCCAGAGCAUGUUAUGCAAAGGUUGUACCAUGAAGCAGUCCCACCCCUCCAGCUACUGCUCCUGCCAGAGCUUUGGGCUCUUUCACCACUUCCCUCCUUGCCUGGAUUGCUAAGAGAUUAACCAAUUUUAAACAGUCCCAUUUAUCCCAAGACACGGACACGUGAAAUAUCCUGCAGUGAUUGAAGUGCUGAAUCUCCCAGUGUUCGAGAUGAAUCUUCGUUUCACUGGAUCUUCUGACACGUGUUAUUUAAGCAAGAGCCCUCUUAAGUCUUUAUUUGCUUGUGUGUUUUACAUCAAGCAGGAACACAGGAGCUUGCCAUGGAGAUCAGACCUGAGGCCAGUCCACCCUUGUGUCUCAUCCCUGCCAUUGAGCAGAGCUUCAGCAGAGAGCACUGGAGGCUGCAAGACACUAAGCUGGAGGAGGGAUGGCUUCACUGCGUUGGAGGUGAUUUAAUCCUCAGUUGGCCAUGCCUCAGACGGCUCUGCUGCUGCAGGUGCCUUGCUGCAAGGGGCCCAGGAAGUGCUGAGCUUUCUCAAGAGCACUGAAACCCCCUUCUCUCCAAGUUGUCUCAUGCAGCAGAUGAUGGCUUUGUGAAGAGCAAAGCAGAGGACCCUUUACAAUAAGAGGAGUGUGUGCUUUGCUGAGUGCAGAGUGUUUGCAGCUCUUAAUGAUGCAGAACCUCUGUUAGGUGGCUGUGGGAAAGGGGUGACUGAGCUGUGUGCAGGACCUGUUAAUAUUUGUUUCACACUAACAAAGGCUGGAAUGUCGCAGGCAGGAGGAAUGGUUCUUUGCUUUUGGGCCCACAGAACUCUUAACACAUCUGCUUUCUGCUCUGCACUAAAGGCUGAGCCCAUUGCAAACUAACACAGCAUCCCAGUGUUUGCAACAGAGCAAUUCUAACUGCCCUAGCUUGCAGCAUUCCCAGCAUUCAAACACAGUUACACCCUCAACAGAAUCAGUGUCUGGAAGCCCAGGGUCUUACUGACAUCGCUAUGAAACAGUUCUGAGCUUUCGUUUAGCACAGCUUGUGCCACAUGAUGGAGACCAAGAAAUGAAGAUCAGCCUUUGACCAUUUGUUUGCUUUGUCCAUGUUAGGUUGGGCCAGGGGGGAAACCAGAAAACAGCACAAGGCAGUAACUCACAGAAACCAGAGGGAGCAGUUACAGAACUAAGAAGCUGCAGUGGAAUCAUAGGGGAUGAAAUUCACUGCUACAGAAUCCACCACUGCUCAAGUCCGGGCCUGUCUCUUGGAUGCCUCCCGCACUGUGAAGCGAUGCCAGAGAAGGCAGGAGGCUCCAUCCUCCUGCCCUCCUUGGGAAGGAAACACCAUAACUCAAACCCACCCUUGAACGUUAUCCUGAGCAUCUUUAAGAAGACAGGAAUAGAAACAGGGAGGCUUCCAGUAAGACUGGACCUUCUGUGACAUCCAGAGGGUAAGUGCUGGACAAAGAAAGGCUUAUGGAGGAAAGGAAGCUGAGGAAUCCAACAGCUGAAGUUCAGGGAUAGCACAGGUAAAAGUAUAAAUCGCAGUGCACUAAUACCUUGGUGAGACCCUGCCGUGUACCAAAAGAGGUAACAGGUUUCCAUAAGGUGAUUGUACUAUGCAAAGGAAUGGCAUUUGUACCCUGCAGAGUGAGACGUGCCAGCGUGAGUCACUUUAACCAGGGCAUUCACAGCAUCCUCAUCAUCUGAGCAGGGCUGUUUCCUCACUGGGAAGUUCCUGGCAGUUCAGUGAGACUCCAUGGAAAGCACUUUGCUGUCUCCAUUCUCAUGCCUUGAGGGUGCUCAGCAAUUGAGGUCAGGAAUACAUUCUGUGGUGCUGCUCC